UGAACGCUGGCGGCAGGCCUAACACAUGCAAGUCGAGCGGAAACGGCAGUAUUGAAGCUUCGGUGGAUUUACUGGACGUCGAGCGGCGGACGGGUGAGUAACGGCUGGGAACCUGCCCUGACGAGGGGGAUAACCGUUGGAAACGACGGCUAAUACCGCAUAAUGUCUACGGACCAAAGGUGGCCUCUACAUGUAAGCUAUCGCGUUGGGAUGGGCCCAGUUAGGAUUAGCUAGUUGGUAAGGUAAUGGCUUACCAAGGCGACGAUCCUUAGCUGGUUUGAGAGGAUGAUCAGCCACACUGGGACUGAGACACGGCCCAGACUCCUACGGGAGGCAGCAGUGGGGAAUAUUGCACAAUGGGGGAGACCCUGAUGCAGCCAUGCCGCGUGUGUGAAGAAGGCCUUCGGGUUGUAAAGCACUUUCAGCAGUGAGGAAGGUGGUGUACUUAAUANGUGCAUGGCUUGACGUUAGCUGCAGAAGAAGCACCGGCUAACUCCGUGCCAGCAGCCGCGGUAAUACGGAGGGUGCGAGCGUUAAUCGGAAUUACUGGGCGUAAAGCGCAUGCAGGCGGUUUGUUAAGUCAGAUGUGAAAGCCCGGGGCUCAACCUCGGAACCGCAUUUGAAACUGGCAGGCUAGAGUCUUGUAGAGGGGGGUAGAAUUUCAGGUGUAGCGGUGAAAUGCGUAGAGAUCUGAAGGAAUACCAGUGGCGAAGGCGGCCCCCUGGACAAAGACUGACGCUCAGAUGCGAAAGCGUGGGUAGCAAACAGGAUUAGAUACCCUGGUAGUUCACGCCGUAAACGCUGUCUACUUGGAGGUUGA
rnacentral:rRNA from 1 species